CAGCAAUGCGUGGCAUACGGCUCAGUAACACGUAGUCAACAUGCCCAGGGGACGUGGAUAACCUCGGGAAACUGAGGAUAAACCGCGAUAGGCCAAGGUUUCUGGAAUGGACACUGGCUGAAACCUAUAUGGCCCCUGGAUUGGACUGCGGCCGAUCAGGCUGUUGGUGAGGUAAUGGCCCACCAAACCUGUAACCGGUACGGGCUUUGAGAGAAGGAGCCCGGAGAUGGGCACUGAGACAAGGGCCCAGGCCCUAUGGGGCGCAGCAGGCGCGAAAAUUCUGCAAUAGGCGAAAGCUUGACAGAGUUACUCUGAGUGAUGCCCGCUAAGGGCAUCUUUUGGCACCUCUAAAAAUGGUGCAGAAUAAGGGGUGGGCAAGUCUGGUGUCAGCCGCCGCGGUAAUACCAGCACCCCGAGUGGUCGGGACGAUUAUUGGGCCUAAAGCAUCCGUAGCUUGUUCUGCAAGUCUUCCGUUAAAUCCACCUGCUCAACAGAUGGGCUGCGGGAGAUACUACAGGGCUAGGAGGCGGGAGAGGCAAGCGGUACUCAGUGGGUAGGGGUAAAAUCCUCUGAUCCACUGAAGACCACCAGUGGCGAAGGCGGCUUGCCAGAACGCGCUCGACGGUGAGGGAUGAAAGCUGGGGGAGCAAACCGGAUUAGAUACCCGGGUAGUCCCAGCUGUAA
rnacentral:rRNA from 1 species